UACGUAGGGUGCGAGCGUUAAUCGGAAUUACUGGGCGUAAAGCGUGCGCAGGCGGUUGGUUAAGUCUGAUGUGAAAGCCCCGGGCUCAACCUGGGAAUGGCAUUGGAAACUGGUCAGCUGGAGUGUGGCAGAGGGGGUGGAAUUCCGCGUGUAGCAGUGAAAUGCGUAGAGAUGCGGAGGAACACCGAUGGCGAAGGCAGCCCCCUGGGCCAACACUGACGCUCAGGCACGAAAGCGUGGGGAGCAAACAGG
rnacentral:rRNA from 1 species